AUUGAACGCUGGCGGCAGGCCUAACACAUGCAAGUCGAACGGAAACAGGAAGAAGCUUGCUUCUUUGCUGACGAGUGGCGGACGGGUGAGAAAUGUGUGGGAAACAGCCUGAUGGAGGGGGAUAACUACUGGAAACGGUAGCAAAUACGGCAUAAUGUUGCAAGACCAAAGAGGGGGAGCUACGGGCCUCUUGCCAGCGGAUGUGCCCAGAUGGGAUUAGCUAGUAGGUGGGGUAACGGCUCACCUAGGCGACGAUCCCUAGCUGGUCUGAGAGGAUGACCAGCCACACUGGAACUGAGACACGGUCCAGACUCCUACGGGAGGCAGCAGUAGGGAAUAUUGCGCAAUGGGCGCAAGCCUGAUGCAGCUAUGCCGCGUGUAUGAAGAAGGCCUUCGGGUUGUAAAGUACUUUCAGCGGGGAGGAAGGGAGUAAAGUUAAUACCUUUGCUCAUUGACGUUACCCGCAGAAGAAGCACCGGCUAACUCCGUG
rnacentral:rRNA from 1 species